AAUUUUCAGGAUAACAGUACACUAGAUGGAGUUGAUGAUAGUAUUUCAUCUUUUAAUUCGUUCCCAGAAGAAUCCGAUUUAGCCGGAAAACGGAGAAAUAUUCGCCGGAAAAAAUCGCCGCCGCCACCACCCCUAGGUGGUCUCAAAUAGACCCCUCCCGAACAAUAGACCUUCAUGUACAGUGUACCUACAUGAAAUCAAGAAAUUAUGAAAUAUUUGCUGUGAAAUUUCCCCGCGUAAAUAAACGCACACUGUAUGGUUGUACUGUAUGUACCUUAGCUAAUCACAUCAAGGUGCAAUGGUACACUUAAGACUUUUCAAGUUUUGAUAUUUUUUGUAACAAGUCGUUUUUUUACCAGUUAUACUAUGCAUUUUGUCCAUAGCACAAAACUUAUAAUCAAGAAUUAAUUAAAAAUAAAUUUACAACGCAUUUUUGGGAAUUUUUUAUAAAAAUUUCUCUAUAAUCUCUUAAAAUAGAUACUUUCCUCUCAAGAAUCCAUUUCCGUUUUCCUACAAAGUUUAUUAGAUUUUUAAUCUCUUUUUGUGUAUACCUGCAUUAUAAUAUUAUUACUGUUAUGAUUAUUAUAUUUUAGAAUUAUGUGAUUUUUGAAUUAAUUAUGAAUUAUAAACGUUAAAAGGAUAGAUAAAGAAAUCGAAUUGAUUUCUUCCAUCUGUCUGUAAUCACUAAUCAUUGAUUUGCAUUUGAUCAUGUAUUCAUAUUGAGCUUUUAUUCUUACCAGUGUGUUGUGUUUUGAAAUCAGUUUGAAUAAAAUUACAAAUUUA